rnacentral:rRNA from 1 species
AGAGUUUGAUCCUGGCUCAGAACGAACGUUAGCGGCGCGCUUAACACAUGCAAGUCGUGCGAGAAAGGGGAAACCCCGGUAAAGCGGCGCACGGGUGAGUAACACGUAGGUAAUCUGCCCCCAGGUGGUGGAUAACCUUCCGAAAGGAGGGCUAAUACAGCAUAAGACCACGGGUUCGCAAGAACUUGAGGUCAAAAGCC